rnacentral:tRNA from 1 species
GCGAGGUUGGUGUAGUUGGUUAUCACAAGUCCUUAACACGGACUGGGCCAUGGGUUCGAUUCCCAUACCUCGUACCA